rnacentral:rRNA from 1 species
GCUUGUCUCAAAGAUUAAGCCAUGCACGUGUAAGUAUAAAAUAACCUAUACUAUUGAAACUGCGAAUGGCUCAUUAUAUCAGUUAUAGUUUACAUGAUAAUAAUUUUCUACUUGGAUACCCGUAGUAAUUCUAGAGCUAAUACAUGCGUAAAGUCCCGACUCUUUCUGGGGAGGGAUGUAUUUAUUAGAUAAAAAACCAAUGCGGGUUCUGCCCGGUUUUGUGUUGAAUCAUAGUAACUUUUCGAAUCGCAUGGCUUCACGCCGGCGAUAGUUCAUUCAAAUUUCUGCCCUAUCAGCUUUCGACGGUAGUGUAGUGGACUACCGUGGCGUUAACGGGUAACGGAGAAUUAGGGUUCGAUUCCGGAGAGGGAGCCUGAGAAACGGCUACCACAUCUAAGGAAGGCAGCAGG